AUGGGUGGGGAGCAAGUGAGCUCCGUCCGGGCAGCCUGGGAGGGAAGCAAACGGGCUGCAGCCGAGCUGAGCGCUCCUGCUGGCAGGGGAGAGCGGCUGCCCCGUGGGCAUCUUGUGCUGCCAAGAAACAUUUCUAGGAAACAAAGGCAAAGACCGAGGUUCCCUGAAUUAAACAACCACCUGAGAGCCAGCUGGAGUCAAGUGGCUCGUUUUGGACCUGAGCUGCUGCUCCAGAAUAGAUACGAAGAAGGCGCCCCGCGCAGAGGGACUGCUCUAACCGAGGGGGGACGAUGGAAAGAAACUGGGGGGCUCCUUGCGUCGUGCCCAGCGCGUUACCUGAAGUUUGUUCCGUGGUGUUACAGUCUUUAGAUGCAUUAGCUGUACUACUUUCUCCUCUAUCCGGGAGACUGCACAGAUGAAUUUAUUUUCAGGGGAUGAAUUCUGGAAGAAGUCGUAAACCUCAGCGUUAGUUUUACCGGAGGACUGGGGUACCAGAGGUCCUGCGUCCGUUUCCUGAGAAGCUCUUGGCAUGGAGCUGUUAGUCUGGCCUCUCACAGAGAAUUAUUUCAGAGCCUUGUUCAGUACAGUACCAAGUGUGGUGGGCACUCAACGUGGAUCACCAGCAAUUAAACAGCUCGCUCUGUGCUGCGAGCGGCUGCGGCUCCGCCGGCUGCUCCGCACUGCACCUCCGGGGCUGCCUGGGGCUUGCACGUUGUUUGCAGAUCUGGAGAUAAAAUGCGGACUGGAAAUGCAAACAACGUGUAUGGUUAUACAAGCAAUGGGCAGAAAUUGUCCACUUUUCUCAAAUCUACAUCAAAAACUGAGACGCAAUCCCUGCAAACCAGAUAAAAGCUGUUAAAUACAAUGAGCCCCACUGUGAAUGGGCCUCGUGUAACCAGGUACGGCACGGUUGUCACAAAGAUCUGGUUACAUUCGUGUUUCAGAAAUACAAAAGGAGGCAUGUCGAGGCUGUGCAUGUAUUGGAAUGCUGCCAGUUGGCCACUGCAGCACGACCAAAGGCUUGGGGUGGCAUCGGGUGCCAGCUUUCGGGAGGUGCCCUGGGGUGGCAGAGGGUGAGGCAGAAGAGCAGCAGGGCUUCGCUGGGCCUUUCUGUAACUGCUGCUCUGUUUCUUCUAGCGCCUCGCUUCACUUUCAUGAAAAGUAAAUUUUUUAUGAACCAUUUAUACUUUUUUUUUUCUCCUGUGAGCUUUUUGCUGCAUUCAGUUGCUUGAAGAAAAGCGAGCUGCUCAGCAGGAAUGUUGCCAAGGAAGCCGAAGGUGCCUGCUCUUCUGGUUGUGAGUAGCACACACAGCUUAUAUUUUUGGUUGUUUUUUUAUUUUUCAUCAGCUGUGUGUGCAGCGGUGCUGACCACAAAGUGCAAAGCUCAGCUCUGGGGUCCCCUGAGAGUGCAUGGCUCAGGUCCACAAACCUGUUAGCAGUUUGUUCGAGCUACUCUGCAGCCAGCAUGACUCCCAGGGACAGACUUCAGGUGCUUCUCAUGUGAAUUUGGAGAUGCAGUGAUCCAGUUUUUCAUUUGCAGCACAAAACUAGGCACUUCUGCUGUCCCCUUGGUCAUGCAGCCAUUGCAAGUGCAGCUGUAGCUGAAGCACCUUCAGCUCCCACGUGCUACUCACAGCACGACUCGCUUGGAAGUCUGUUCCUCUUGUGUGCAGCAAGCAGGGCUCACUUUCUGACAAAGCAACACUCAUCGUCAGAUGAUCACUCUGAACGUGUUUAUCAGCCUCCAAAGAAUGCAUACCAGAAUUAGUUGCACCAAGAAUAUUUUGCAUGCUUUAUGGAAAACGGGUGCCAAUUUAAACAAGAGCACACAUGGAGCCACUCCAAGCUUGCAUGAAUGAAAAAAGUGAGUUUGAGUUAUAGGAAAAACCAAUUUGCUUUUAUGGAGGGAGGUUUUCAGUGCCACUAAAUUAUAGACUUAUAAAUUCCCAGUUUAAUUCAUAAACGUUACACAGCAGCAAUAAAUACCUAAAUGUAAGGCGACA
ensembl:lncRNA